GUAGGGUGCAAGCGUUAAUCGGAAUUACUGGGCGUAAAGCGUGCGCAGGCGGUUUUGUAAGUCUGUCGUGAAAGCCCCGGGCUCAACCUGGGAAUUGCGAUGGAGACUGCAAGGCUUGAAUCUGGCAGAGGGGGGUAGAAUUCCACGUGUAGCAGUGAAAUGCGUAGAGAUGUGGAGGAACACCGAUGGCGAAGGCAGCCCCCUGGGUCAAGAUUGACGCUCAUGCACGAAAGCGUGGGGAGCAAACAGGAUUAGAUACCCUGGUAGUCCACGCCCCUAAACGAUGUCUACUAGUUGUCGGGUUUUAAUUAACUUGGUAACGCAGCUAACGCGUGAAGUAGACCGCCCCGGGGAGUACGGUCGCAAGAUUA
rnacentral:rRNA from 1 species